UCACCAUAGGUAGUCGAGCGG
rnacentral:misc_RNA from 1 species